UGCAAAUCAAUCGUAACAAAGCAAAAUCCAACACUCCACUCUUCAUGGAGACUGCAUAAACCUCCAAAACCAACUACCACAAAUCAUCAAUUUUAAAGCAUGCUGUUAAUAAACAUGCCACUAAUAAUUAAGAAUUAAAUAAUCAAACAACGAGAUCAACGUCAACUUGCAUCUUCGAGUGAGGGCCAUCGUCUGAGCGAUAUUGAUGCUAGAGGUUUGAAGCAAACCAGGGGUGUUGGAGGUUGCAGAGACAAGUGAUCAGUUCAUUAGUUAUGGCUUCUUUAAUGGACCUGCAAGGAAAAACAUGGAGGGCUGAUGGUUGAUGUGGUUACUUACUCGCCGCCUGAAAUUGGCUUCUGAGCACAAGAUGUGAUAUUAUAUGUUUUUGUGCUCACAAGGAGGACCACCCUCGUCAUC
rnacentral:lncRNA from 1 species